GUGCACGCGCAUUAUCGGAUCUGCGCGUCGCGCUUUCAAGUUCAAUGUGGCAAUCCAGUCGAAUUAACAAUCAUACAGUAGCCUACAAAGAUCACGUCAAGAAUGAAAACACGGUGCUGGGAUUUGUUGUAAAAAGAAUUGGCAAACUUAGACUUUAUUCAGUCCAGAAGAAAAUUACCACACUUCCAGCAUAUACGGUGAAAUCAUGUAGUAUUAGCAAUGUACGACUUCACUUACAUCAUUUUAAAGAGAUUCCAAGCAUUAUGUAGACAUGACAUUUAUCUUCUGAUGAUAUGAAAAGUAUUCAGUAAUUUUUCUGACGCGUUUUUGAAAAGUAGUCACUGAUGGAGAGAUAACAGAACGCGCAUUAGGCUAUGUAUAUUUUCUUGAAAAGCACAACAUUCAGUUUUUAUAGACACACAAAAAAUGACACUUUAACGUUUUAAAUGAUGUAUAAAUUAUAUCUGCAUGUCCAAAAUCAGCAGAGUAAUCCAAGUCUCUUUGCGCAGUGAUUGAAAUAUAAAGAGCUUGCGCCGCGACCGCAGGGAGGGUUAAUAUUCAUAAUGUUUCUUUUUAACAAUGUGCUGCACUGCCGCACGUCGAAAAUAAACAAAGCGAUUAAGUGAAAGUAGCGCAUUAAAUUUGGGGUGGCACACGGGGUGGCCAGUGACAUGUCAAGGGUGUCCAGUGCCACCCUGGACACCCCUCUGGCUCCGCCACUGUAGCCACCCCCAUCUGUUCGCUGAUUGGAGUGAGAUGAUUGGUCCUGCAGAUUUUUGCAGGAGAAAACGAAACUCUAUAGAGCAGUCCCAGACGUUCUGCUGAAGCGAAAUGAAAAAUAAGCGGAAGCACGUAGGAGGGCGGAGCCAGGCUACGAAAUCAUUGCCUUUGAUCAAAGACACUGAGAGCUAAUAUUGGGGAAUAAAGCCAAAUUCGUGCUAAAUUAUUAUUGAUUCAGUCAAAAACUCCUUUGCAACAAAAAGAUUGUUACCUGAAAUUAAGAAAAGUAAUAGAGGCUUCCUGAAAUUAAUUAAUAUAAUAGAGAUGCAUUUCAUUCUUAUUGCCCUUUCAUCAUUAAAUGUUCUGAUGUGUACAGUAAGCUCAAGUUAAAAACAUACAGUUCCAUAAUCUACUUAAAGUGCUCUAUUUUCAUGUACUAAUUUUGUACUUAAUAUAGCCUAAAAAAUUUUUUGUUCUUUAGUACAUUAAUAUGAAAUAUGCUAAAAUGUAAUUGAUUUAGGUACCACUUGAAAUAAAUUUGAACCCAUCUUUGAAUGAAAGAUGAGUACAGGUUUACUUCAAGUGGUAUACAUUUUGGUUACACGAGAUAUGUUAAAUGCAUUUCAGUUCAUAUGAAUGUAAUCUCAAAAUAACACAGAUAAUGUUUUUAAGAUUAUCUUAAGUAAUAAAGUAGAAACUUUGUAUUAUGUACAAAACUAUUUUGUAAAAUUAGGGCACUUUAAAAGGAUAGUUCACCCAAAAAUAAAAAUUCUGUCAUUUUCUCACUCUCAUGUUGUUACAAACCUGUAUAAUUUUUUUUUGUUCUUAAGAACACAAAGGAAGAUAUUUUGAGGAAUGUUUGUAACCAAACCUUUAAUGAGCCCCAUUCACUUCCAUAGUAGGAUAAAGAAUACUGUGGAAUUCAAUGGGGCUCAUUAACAUUUUGUUUACAAAACAUUAGGUAAAAUUAAACCGUUAGCAAAAACUUGAGAAUCUGGUUGGGCUGAGGGGUCGCUGUCGCAAAUACUCCUCUCCUGACAUCUCACUCCAAACUUUUGGUAAAACUUGAGAGCCCUGAUAUACAUGUCCGACAACAAAACAGAUAAUAUGUAAAAAUAUAAUUAAGUUGUGUUAAAAUACAUUAUAACUCAAUUAACCUACUUAAGUCUGUGUCAUUAAUGUUAAUCAAACAACCCAAGACAAAGAGAAAAUCCCUUCUGCUGCUCUAAAAAAAAUAAUUAUAUUCAAUUUAUACAAAGACUUUUUCUAAUUUCCUAAUUUUCCUAAGUUUUUUUUAUAAAUGUUUGUAAUUUCUUAAUUUGUUACUAUAUUUUUCCCACCCCUUUUUUUGCUGAUCUGAAAAAUUAUCAGAUCUGUGCCUCAAAAACUGUAAUGUGAUCUGAACACCCCUAUUUUGUAUUGUUCUGGGGAUGUCCUCCAUGUCUUUUUCAAAAUGCUAAGAGGGGCCAGAAUUUAGAAAUUAACUGCAGUACCUUAAAGGCUGGUUUUUACACACACAGUCAUCCAUGUCAGGGCGAAUUAGCACUUAGUAUAAAAGUUGUCGUGUCCCUGUGAUGUUUCUUGAUUGUGGCUUAGGUGUGCCAUGCUAUGCUUUGCCACACAAUUCUGUGUCAUGUCGCGCUGAACAUUUUCCUGUUUUUUACGGUUAAGUCUUACAUUUUUAUUUUAGAGGACUUAAAAAAGGUCUUAAAAGUCAUUCAAUUUGCUGUUAAAAAAUUUGCAGAUACCCUGUUGUAAGCUUCAUUCCCUUUAAACCAGGUAAGCUUCAUACUGUUUUAAAUUAUAUUUAGGGGACUCUGCUUUAACAAUGCAAGAUUUAGGAUAAUGAUUUGUUAAAGUAUUAAAAAGCAUAUACAUGUAUAUUGUACAGACGUUUAUUAAACUAAUUAUGAAAAGAAUGUGGUACAAAAUGUGUUUAGUUUUUUUAUUGAUAUUUCAAAGUUUUUGUAUGCGAGGUAAUCUUUCUGGGAGUACAGGCAGUUCAUGUGACCGCUUGAUAUGAGAGACACAUCCUGUUUUUAAAGGUGAUGUAUGCAUGUUUCUUUCAAUUCAGACAUUAAAAUAAUAGUUAUUUACUGUUUAAACAUUUUGAAAAUUAAAGUUUUGUGUGUUUUUAUUGUACUUUAUAUCAUUUAUAACAGGUUAGCUUUAUACUGUAAGCUUCAUUCCCUUUAUAACAGGUAAGGGUAAGCUUCAUAUUGUUUUAAAUGAUAUAUGUUGGGGACUCUGCUUUAACAAUGUGUUAGCAAUGCUGUGUUUAACUGGGUAUCGCCCCUGGCCAAUCUCUUCCAUUAAAAAGAGGUGCAGAAAUCCAGAGUAUCAAACAGAACUUUAAUCCAGUAUGCAAUAUUGUGAUGUUGAUGAGUGUUUUAGUUUUCUAUACAAAAUACAGAAAUAAACAUAUAUAAAUGUCAGGCAAUUACACUCCUUAUAAAUAAAAAGGUGAUAUAAAUGUACAAUGAAUACAAAUAUAACCUUAAUCAUGCUGUUAUGAAUCAAAAAUAAGUUGCAGUCUUAAUAAUCAUUACUGACCUAAUUAAAGAGCACAAAAUGUCGGACAAACGCCCAUUAUAUGUAGGUAAAUAGCCAAUUAAAUAAACAAGUCAAACAGUACUUUAAAUAUCUACCAAAACAGAUUAAUGUAGUUUUAGUGUAAGAUACAAUGAUAUUCAUUUUACAAAUAAACUAUAUCAAUAUCACGACUGAAUAACGAUCGCUAUGGUAAACUGCUGCAUCAUGCAUCGAUUUAAAUGAACACAAACUUAACAAGAAACUGCUAUAAACAUUCAUGAGCAUUAUAGCAAUUCAAUCAUUGAUUAUUAUUGUUACUUACUUGGUCAAUAACUCAAAACAGUGUUCAAAUAACCAACAAUCACAACGGGAUGUUUGGCACAUAUUCAAUGCGUGCUAGCAGCAGAACUGAAUGACCUAGAUUUUUUAUCAAGUAUAUAAUGCGUCCUACUGACCUAUGACUUCGCAAUACUGCCACCUACUGGUAAAGGCAUGUAAUAUAGGAAACUUUGUACACAAUGACUUUGGAUAAUCAUUUGUUAAAGUGUUAAAAAGCAUAUACAUGUAUAUUGUACAUGACGUUUAUUAAACUAAAUAUCAAAAGAAUGUAGUACAACAUGUGUUUAGGUUUUUUUUAUAUAUUUCAGAGUUUUCGUAUGUGAGGUAAUCUUGCUUGAUAUGAGAGACACAUCCUGUUUUUAAAGGUGGAUCAUAGCUUUAAAAAGUUGGAUAGCUGCAGGUCGGCCAUUGGCUUGAUAACAGUGGUUUAUGAAUAAAUCUUUCACCAACCAUUCACGUAUUUACCAAUAAAACAGACCCAAAUCUUGUUCGGCCUGAUGCUCAACCUACUGUCCACCAAAUGAUGACAACUGCAAAGUGAUGGGAGUCUGUGGUUUUCACAGCCUGUGUCUCAAGAUCACCAUGACAAUAGCAGACCAUCUCUUAUCUUACUCUUAUCUGACGAAAUGUUCAACGUCACUGCCACAAAACAAAGAACAUUGGAUGGAGCAUGUACUGUUCAAUGAGCCAGCAAACAAAUAUGGACUUUUUUUGGCGAGAUUCUACAAACAUUGACACAAUCCUAUUGACUUUUAUUUUUACAGUUAGUAAUGUAUUAUUAACAUCCCAUUAAUUUGUAUUCUAUGCCGUCUAUCUGUUUGUGCUAAAGUGUUUUUAUAUCCGAAUGUAAUAUGUUAAUAUUCAGUAUUUAUCAUUUGCAUGUUUUGAUGUGGCAUGUCAUGAUUUUAAUGAUUUCAUGUAAUUUUUGUUUGUAGUCAUGUAGUUUUUGUCUUUGCCAAAUUUAUUGUUAAAGGAAUAGUCUACUCAUUUUC